UGGUACAGAGAAGAUUAGCAUGGCCCCUGCGCAAGGAUAACACACAAAGUUUGUGAAGCAUUUCACAGAUUC